rnacentral:lncRNA from 1 species
AGUUUUUAUGCUAUUAAAUAUUUCAAAUCAAAGUUUUUUAAAUCCAGAUUUCUUUACAUAUUUUAGUGUCGGCAUUAUUAGAAUUAAUUAAAUGCUUGAUGACUAGGGCAAAGCUUAGGAAUGUUAUGAAGCUAUCUCAUUUUGAAAUAAAUCCAGUAUCAACGUCAAAUAUUUUUGAAAUCAUAGAAUUAUCUAAUUAUAAAAUACUAAUCAGU